rnacentral:ncRNA from 2 species
CUCUUAUCAAGAGAGGCCGAGGGAAGUGCCCUUUGACGCCCGGCAACCGGCAAUCAUUUAUGAUUGAAAAGGUGCCAAUUCACACAGGAUAAUAAAUCCUGGGAGAUGAGAG